rnacentral:rRNA from 11 species
UUUUAAAAGAAGUUUUAUCAAAACUCCUGAUCUUGCCAAAUCUUGGAAGCUAAACAGAUUCAGCCCUGGUUAGUACUUGGAUGGGAGACUGCCAAUGACUACCAGAUUCUUUCAAAGG